ACCACCUUUUCAUAUUCAUUUCGUGCAAAUAGGCAAAUCAUAAUUGUGUGGAAAGAAAAGGAAACUGCAUUCCCAGAAUUAUUAUGUGGAAAGCAAUCCAAGAAAGACAUUGUCUCCUUCUCACAAAGUUGUUAUACUACUAAUAGCUUACUUAUUCAGUUUGCUUCAUAACCCAAAAAUUCCCAAACCCAUAAUGACUACUCUCUUCCACUUUCCCAAAUUAGUCUUCUUUUCUCCUCUCCCUACUUCUCUCUGCUGCACUCGUCAUCAUUACCUUCUUGUUUACCGUUCAAAACCAGCAAUUUGUGCUUCAACUAAAAAACCCAGGGCAACCCGGAAGGUGAAAAGCAACAUUGAUCUCUGCAAUGACAUCAGGGAGCUUUUAUCUUCUGUUGGACUUCCCGAGGAUCAUGUACCCACCAUGAAGGAGCUUUCUCAGCACGGAAGGCAAGACCUCGCAAACAUUGUUAGAAGAAGAGGUUAUAAACUUCUCAGGGAGCUUCUGUCAACUUCCAAGCAACCAACCUAUGAUGAGUGCAGUGAAGCAGAUGGCCUUGUUGAAAAAAGUGGAGAUGAAUCGUCAGGUCAGGAUGGAAAAAUGACGGACAUGGCUCAUGAUGUUUCCUUACCAAGUGAAGCGUCUGCAGUAGAUGACUACACGAAUGAUGCAAACAAUGACAGAGUGGUGAAGUCUGAUGAGCAAAAUUCUGGUGAUCAACAGCCUUCACGCUAUUCCUCCUUGGAAGAAAAGGUGGCCAAUUUUAUUCAGAAUGGAGAAUUGGAUAGUGUAGAGGAUAGUGGCUUUGAAAUUUUCAAUGAAAGAGGUUCCGAGCAAUUGGAGGGAUCUGUUGUAGGACAGGAUGUUGUAAAAACAGAAUCUACUACUCCGAAGGAGCAUAAAGAUCUUGUUCUCUGUAACGAUAAUGGUGCAGAGUUACAUAAUGGAAAUUCCAUGCCAACAUCAACCCAGCAUGUUGAACAUCGUAGUGGGCAGAGUUUCGGGAUGAGGAAUAAUAGCCUUUCAACUGAAGACCUAGCCAUGACUGAAGGGAGAAAUAGUGCUGAUGUUGAGCCCCAAAAAGUGGAGAAUCAAGCUGAAAUUAAUCGUCUCAAGUUCAUGCUGCAUCAGAAGGAGCUGGAGUUAACUCAUUUGAAGCAGCAGAUUGAAGAGGAAAAGCGCUUACUAUCUAGUCUGCAAAUCAAAGCUGAAAGAGAAAUCAGCGAAGCACAAAGACUUAUUUUGGAAAAAGAUGCAGAACUAAAUGCUGCUGAAGAUAGCCUUUCAGGACUGAAGGAGGUUGAAAUUCAAUAUUGGGCGGAUGGGGAAAGUGUUGAGGUGGCAGGCAGCUUCAACGGGUGGCAUCAUAAAGUAAAAAUGGAUCUACAAGCAUCAUCCGGUGUCAUAGAUCCCAUUGACCAAGAUAUACAAGCAUCAUCAGAUACUCCCGUUGGCACGAGUUACUGUAGUAUUAUGAAUAACAUGAUAAAAGAUGCUUUCCAGGAAACCUCGACUUUGGAAAACUGUGCUAUGGCUGUAUCCAGGGAUAUAUGAGAUAAAAUUCGUUGUUGAUGGCCACUGGACAACUGAUCCCCAAAUGGAGUCUGUUACAAGAGGUGCAAUACACAAUAAUGUACUACGAGUUGAUAGAUGAGUUGGGCUAUUGCAUUCCCACAUGCACAUACAGAGACUAUGCACAUCAGUAGGAAGGACAUUCUUGAAGAUCAUGCUGUCCAAUUGCGUUUAUGUUGUUGCAAAUCAAUGAGCUGAUCCAUGCAACUUGAAGGUAACGUGCUUCUUCUACUUGUAAUCGUCUCAUCUCAUUUGAAGACCGGGGAAGUGGGCUACUUGCUCAACAUAACAGCUGCUGUUGAAAAUGUCUAGUUUUAGCCCUGUAGAGUUCUAAUAUAGCAAUGGUUUUUGUAUAUUCUAUUUCCUGAUCAUUGGAAGCAAUCUGUCAAGGGAAAAUCACUUGAGCUUUUUCGGCUUUGCUCCUUUCCGGAGCAGGUUUGAAUACAGAAAGAGAUUUGCAUAUAUAGUUGAGCCAGGGGCUGCAAAAUAUGGCCCAGUAGGAUGAUUUGUUAUAUAGUUGCCUGCGGAUUGAACUGUAUAGGAGGAUAUUUACCUACAAAUUAUUACUAUUGAUUGUACAGUAGUGAAAUCUUUGCAUGCCUCCUAUCUUCACA